GAUGAACGCUAGCGAUAGGCUUAACACAUGCAAGUCGAGGGGCAGCAUGGUCUUAGCUUGCUAAGGCUGAUGGCGACCGGCGCACGGGUGCGUAACGCGUAUGCAACUUGCCUCACAGAGGGGGAUAACCCGUCGAAAGACGGACUAAUACCGCGUACACUCUAUGUUGGGCAUCCAAUGUAGAGGAAAUGAAAUUCGCUGUGAGAUAGGCAUGCGUCCCAUUAGCUAGUUGGUGAGGUAACGGCUCACCAAGGCGACGAUGGGUAGGGGAACUGAGAGGUUGAGCCCCCACACUGGUACUGAGACACGGACCAGACUCCUACGGGAGGCAGCAGUGAGGAAUAUUGGUGAAUGGGCGAGAGCCUGAACCAGCCAAGUCGCGUGAAGGAUGACUGUCUUAUGGAUUGUAAACUUCUUUUAUACGGGAAUAACAAGAGUCACGUGUGGCUCCCUGCAUGUACCGUAUGAAUAAGCAUCGGCUAACUCCGUG
rnacentral:rRNA from 1 species